rnacentral:lncRNA from 1 species
GUCAAGACAUGUUAUCUUUCCUAUCUUAUUUAAUAUUCCAGUGCACCUGUAUUGCAUUAUAUUCUCGAGAACUGAGCGUCUGGGAAGGAGAGUAAUCUGCACCCCCUCCCCCAAAGGAAGGUGGAGACAAGCCUAGGGUGACUUCUGUACCAGGGGGAUUCAGCACUGUGGUUUACCUUGUCGGCGGGAUACACAGCUCAUCAGAUUCGGACUCUUACUUUCUAGAGAAGACAGUGGCUCACAGGGGCUCAGGGCCUCUUAUGAAUGAGGAGCUCGCAUGGAAGGGUAAUAUCCAUAUUUCGAACUAAUGGAAAAAUACUGUGCAAUGGGGAGAUGAAGAUAGUACCCGUGGCUCCGUCAAAGGGUGACUCUGACAUUUGCUGUUACCCAUUGCUUCAAAUUAGGUCUGACUGUAAGUAUGUGACUUCCAUCUUCUGGCCUCAGAUUUAGCAUCUGGGAGAGUUGUCCUGUGGGGCCACCUAUAGCUUUGAAGUUCAGAGAGACAGUAGACCUUGGAGGCAUAUUCCUAAGCAACCCACCCCUUCUUUACUAGGCUCCAGCUGUCAUCUCACCUGCUGGCUCCCUUAAUUUUAGUCUCUAGCCCUUCCCUACUGGAACUUGAAAUACUAAAGGGAACGGUUAAGAAGUUUAAUUCCUGGACCGGAGCGCCCCCUAGGCACACCGAGCUAAACUGUGACGCGCUUCAUCUGACUCAGGAUUCUGGGAAGUUGAUGUCCAGGGUCAGCAUCGGAUCCUUGAACUUCCCGGUUUGUAUUGUGAGGCAAGCACCCUGGGACUUUCCUGACUUGGGCAGGGAGGGUGCAGGGAAGGAGACGGGGAAGAAGGAAGUGGCAAACACUGUCCAAGCAGGCACCGAAAAGGCUAUGCAGGGGUUGCUCCUUCAACAGACACGUGGGGCUAGAGUGGGGGCGGGAGUGGUAGAUAUACCAGAGACUCAGGAGAUGCAAUUCAGCAGGCAAUAUUCAGCAGCCGCGGUGAGUGCACAGGGACAGAAGAACCAUCACUUAAUAAAAAGCACUGUUAGAGCCGGCCAGUGUGGCACUCACCUUUAAACCCAGCAUUUGAGAGGCAGAGACCGGAGAAUCUCUGAGUUCGAGGCCACCCUGGUCUACAACCGGAAGUUCACAGAGAAACUCUGUCUUGAAAAAAAACAAAACAAAACAACAGCAAAAACCUGUUAGAACAGAACAACCCAUUUCAAGUCAACUAUUUAUGUUCCUGUUACUGCUCUCUUGUUACAGUGAAUCUUAUAUGUUCAUUUUAAACAAGGAUUCUUCAAGUUUAUAACUUUUUUGCUGCAUUUUGAUUUUCUUUCCUCUUUUUUUUUUAAAUACUUAUCUCCUAUAUACAUAGCUAACAUAACCAAAGCUUUGUGUCAAGUAGUAUGUUACAUUUCGUCUCUGUAUGUGUACAUUGUGGUGAUCUAGUGUAUAAGACCUGUGUGCAGUGUUUAUCUGUGUGUCUCUGUGGGAUAUGUAUAUGACGCAUCCAACAUAUAUGCAUUAUAUGUUUCUAUCUAUGUUUGAUAUUUUUGAAUGUUUAUAUGAUUGUGUGUGUCGUAUCUAUGCUCUAUAUUUGUGUAUCUGUUUCUGUGUGGAGUGAGUGUAUAUGUAGUGUGUUUAUUUGGGGUGAAUAUAUUUCUGUUUCUACAAGUAUUAACAUGGUCUGUGUAUGUGUGUCCAAGUAUGUGUGUGAAUUUGUGUAUGAACAAAUGUGUGUGUGUGUGUGUGUGUCUG